rnacentral:rRNA from 1 species
UACAGGGGGGGCAAGCGUUGUUCGGAAUUACUGGGCGUAAAGGGCUCGUAGGUGGCCAACUAAGUCAGACGUGAAAUCCCUCAGCUUAACUGGGGAACUGCGUCUGAUACUGGAUGGCUUGAGUUUGGGAGAGGGAUGCGGAAUUCCAGGUGUAGCGGUGAAAUGCGUAGAUAUCUGGAGGAACACCGGUGGCGAAGGCGGCAUCCUGGACCAAUACUGACGCUCAUGCACGAAAGCGUGGGGAGCAAACAGG